rnacentral:rRNA from 1 species
UACGUAGGGGGCGAGCGUUGUCCGGAUUUAUUGGGCGUAAAGAGCGUGUAGGCGGUUCGGUAAGUCUGUCGUGAAAUCCUGAGGCUCAACCUCGGGCGUGCGAUGGAUACUGCCGGGCUAGAGGAUGGUAGAGGCGAGUGGAAUUCCCGGUGUAGCGGUGAAAUGCGCAGAUAUCAGGAAGAACACCCGUGGCGAAGGCGGCUCUCUGGGACGGUACUGACGCUGAGACGCGAAAGCGUGGGGAGCGAACAGG